GGUUAAGAACGGACCUCUGGAACGAAUUAAGUACUUAACCCGAGGUACCACUGUAUUUUUGAACACAAAUAAAUUCCGUAAAUUCUGUUAAAAAUCCAUAGUUAGCAACAAUAAACAAUAAUAACAUUAAAAUUACCAGCAUAAAACAAUAACCAUAAACUACCCUCAUUCAUACCUCCUCAGAUCAAAAGCUAUUGAGAAAAAAUUAGGUUGUUAAGGCCUUCUUUUAAAAAAAUGAAUUGAAUUCCAAAAUUGUGGAGCCACCACUGAGAAGGCCCUAUUAUGCAACCUGGCAGUCUAAUUGCUUUUACUGGUGGGUAUGCUGGCUGGGGCUGAUGGAAGUGUAGUCCAACAACAUAUGGUGGUCCACAGUUUCACUAUCCCUGCCUUAAAGAACUGCCAAAGAUCCAGCAGGAAGACAGUAGUGGCUUAUCACAUGUGAGAGGUAGCAAUACUGUUGCUUGGGACACUGAAUCAAAUCCUCUGUAAGUGAAGGGUACUGUUCUGUAUCUCAGACUCUUCCCUUGUAGUCACAAUACUCUUGAAUGGCAUCAUUGGGAAGUGGACAUCCAUAAACCUGAUCUUUUAGAAGGAGUUAUAUAUAUUAAGUAAUCUCCCUAUGCUCUAUUACAGCCAGCUUUGUCCUCUUUCUAAACUGUAGGGAGCUGCUGAGCUGACAAAACAGGAGCUACAGAUAGCGAUAGAUCGUUCUAGGCUUCAACAUUAGGACUUUGAACCAACAUAUUUCUAAACUCGAUCUGUAUGAACUGAGAUAACUGUGGCAGGGUUUGAUUAAACAAGCACCGGGAGGAAAGGCAUUCAAAAAGCCAGAGCUUAUGUCAAGGUCUGUUUGCAGAUCACCGAGAAACCAAGUGGCAGAUAGAAGAACAAGUUCACAUAUAUCAGCUGAUUUUAUUUAAGCAUUCGUUAGUGGCGGUGGCUGAAAGUGCAGACAGUAGAUGCCUACUAUAUUUUGACAGGAACGCUGUUCCACAGAACAAGGGCAAUUCUGUGCUCCUGAAAGCCAGCUCUGAGUUAUUGUGGAGUGGACUUCUGAGAACUUUGGAACUUGCAGGACAAGCUCUACCAUAGGCUGCAGAGACCCACAGGAUGAAUAAGGGGUAUUUCUUGCUGCCAUUCUUACUUGGUUUCCAGCACAGCCGAAGAUGUUCCCUAGGCCUAUGGGUAAGUGUGAUUUCUUCAAGGCUAGCUGCAAUCUGAUGAAUGUCUGUUUGCUACAUAAUAUGGUAGUAUUUUAGACGAGCUUUAAACUGUCAUCUUCUGUGUUAUAGCAGCACUGAAGUGACCUUCCGAGGCAGCAGACCUGUGCAGUGUGUAUAGAGGUCCUGGGAAGCCCUGAUGAUGAGACCCCCUUUCAGCCUCCCUGUAUAAUAUGUAGUGUCUAUAGAUUAGGUUGCAAUCUUUCUAUUUCACAAA